rnacentral:rRNA from 1 species
UACGGAGGGUGCGAGCGUUGUUCGGAAUCACUGGGCGUAAAGCGCGUGUAGGCGGCCCAUUAAGUCUGAUGUGAAAGCCCGGGGCUCACCCCCGGAAGUGCAUUGGAAACUGAUGGACUCGAGUCCCGGAGAGGAGAGUGGAAUUCCUGGUGUAGCGGUGAAACGCGUAGAUAUCAGAAGGAACACCAGUGGCGAAAGCGGCUUCCUGGGCCAGUACCGACGUUCAGGCACGAAAGCGUGGGGAGCAAACAGG